UACGUAGGUGGCAAGCGUUGUCCGGAUUUAUUGGGUUUAAAGGGUGCGUAGGCGGUCGUAUAAGUCAGUGCUGAAAUAUCCCGGCUUAACCGGGAGGGUGGCAUUGAUACUGCAUGACUUGAGUAAAGUUGAGGUUGGCGGAAUUGACGGUGUAGCGGUGAAAUGCUUAGAUAUCGUCAAGAACACCUAUUGCGAAGGCAGCUAACUAAGCUUUAACUGACGCUGAGGCACGAAAGUGUGGGGAGCAAACAGG
rnacentral:rRNA from 1 species